rnacentral:misc_RNA from 1 species
GAAAAUUAAAGAAAUUUAUUUGCAUAGGGAAGGUGAUUGGAAAACCUUGAAACAGUACACAUUUUCUGUUUAUACUCAUAACAUCGUUACAAACUUUAAAUGACAUCUGCAUCAGUGUAGCUCCAAAUACAAGAUACAGUUACAAAACCAAGUAUUGUCUCAUUCGUCAUCAACAUAUAUAGUUUCUUGCUGAAACAGUCCACCAAAUAGUUUCUUUACUUCUUUCUUUGACUCUGUCUCCUCGGCCUUUGGCUCCUCUCUUGGUUUCAAGGCAGGAAAUUUUGCGGUUGCUCCUUUAAAAACAGCUUUUUGGUAAGGGAGGGAACGAGCUUUGGCUUGUCCCCUGACAGAAGCAAUCUGCACUUUCGGUUUUUCUCCGUUUGUUGUCUGAACUGCAGUUGCGAUCUGGGAACUAAGUUUCUCCCAAGAAAAUCCUGCUCCGAUGUCUUUUGCUCUGCUCAAGAGGUUUUCCAUUGAAGUCCCAGCAGCCUCAGCCUUUUCCUGGGCUUCUUCAGCUAGACUAGCAGCUUUAGCUUCUUUCUCUGAAAGCUUUUUCACUUCUUCUUCAAGCUUCUUUGCUGUGUCGGCUGCUUCACGAGCUUUCUCAGCAGCUACCCUUGCUUCUUCCUCAGCUUUUGCCUUAGCAAGAGUUUCUGCAUAAACUUUUCUUCUUCCAUCUUCAGGAAUGGCACUAAAUGCAAUUUUAUAUAAGAUUAGCAGGCUCUUAUUUCAAGCAAUGCAAGAAGUUGAAAUUUAAUGAUAAGGAGAUAUCAGAACCACAAUUUACCUGAAAAGCUCCUCCACAGUCCUUGAGGGUGCUGAUGGUUUAGUAAAAACUUCCACCACCUGCUUUAGAAUAUAAGCAUAAACCAACCACAAUUUUUCAUGUCAUUUAGAAACCAGUAAAGCAAAGGUUUUGGGGUAUCCAUGGAAAAAGUUGUUCUGUUCUGCUACAACAUGUUAACCCAGUAGAAUAAAAACAAUUAUAAUUAAAUGUACCUUAUUUUCUGCCACUUCCGUAUUUGAGAAAACAUCAGCCACUAUGACUGCUAUCUGAGACCUUGCUAACUAGUAAAGAUAAUUCAUAGCAUAAAGAAGGAUAAGGAACACAAAUAAAAGGAAAGAUAAAAAAAAUUAUGCAUCCAGAAAAACAAAGAAUUAAAUUAAUGAAACAGAAAUAAUUGCAUACAUUACAUUACUUUGUAGUCGUUUGAACCAGUCCUUCCUUCAGCAGAUACAACAACAUUAUAAGAACUCUCGGGUGAAAAAUCUUCAGUCAAGCUUGUCUUAAUGAAAGUAUAGCUAACGUCUGUCUCGAUUACUUUCUGCAGGAACUCAGGUAUGGACAAUGGCUGAGAUUGUGAGAACAAGUUGUUAAAGAAUGAAGUGAAGCCAUCUAGGACAUUAUAAGUCGAAGCGCCAGCGGCAUUUGAAUCGUAGAUUAUUGCAACAUGGCCAACACCUGAUAGCUGAGCAGCCUGAAUUACUUUCAAGGCGUCAGAUGUAGAGACCUCAGAGGUAGGACCAUUCUCUGCAGGACCAAUUGUAACCACAACUUUGCUUGCAUUACCAAUUGCUUUGGCAAUUGAUUCUGCAUCUAUAAAAGUGGAUUGAACAGCGUUGAGACGUCUUGAUUCUUCCUUUGAUAUGAUCUGAGAUAUGUACAUAGCAUCAAGAAUUUAUAAACAUAAAAUUGAUAUGAUCUGUGAUGUGAAUGUAGCAUCAAUAAUAGAUAAACAUCAAAUAACACAUAUUAGCUUUCUAUCAGUAAGAGACUGUACGCUAAUUGCCACUGAAACGUAGGAAGAUUUUAUCAUCCCAUUUUCGGUGAGUACAACAAGCAACGUAAUAAUUAUCUGUGUACAUUAAAUAGAAUGCACUUUUCUUGGCAUAUUAUAUUACCCUUCUGUCAAUUCAAUCGAUAAGAUAAAAUUCACCCACAGCAGUAGCAAAAGGCAUUGAAAAUGCCAAAUAACAACUAUAUUUUCCUGCCGCAACAAAUUCAGAUUGAAUCACAACGUUACUAGUUGUUAAAGUUAGCUAACCUUGUACUCCGCCGCAAAACGAGCCAACUCCUGCGCAGCUUCUAGCUCUGGAACCCCAGCUCUAACCCUAAAACCUUCACGCAGUAAAGUUUGUGCAAUUCGAAUGCCUGCCUGGCCAGUAGCACCAGCCACAAACACAGUGCCAGGAUCCUUCCUUCUUGGAAACGACAAACCAGAAGCAGGCUCACUCACAACAGGUAUCAAGGACUUUACAUCAGGUACCUUGCCAAAGUUGAAACUAAAAGCACUCGAAUUGCCUGAACCAUUAGUUUCUGAAGCACUGUCAUCUUUAGGUUUGCCAAGCUGAAAUGGGGAGAAGGGUCCAGCUCUCUUGGCAAAGACUCUGAGUCUUGGGAUUCUGACAGUGUGUCUUGAAUGUGGUUUGGGGGUAAGGAGAAAUGAAUUGGAGGUGAGAGUUGGAGCCAUGAGGGGCACAAGAGAAGUUUCCAAAUGAUGACUCUCCCUUCCAAGUUUAUUGUUUUGAGAUUUUCUGGGAAUCUCACUAUAUCCAAUUGCCUUGCAUUUGCUGCCUGCGGCAAUUUUAGUAAUUUUGGUUUGGAUAUCAUCUAGAUGUGGAGGUAAGGGACGGCUAGCAAAUGGGCUAAAGCCACGUAUUCGUAGGUUAUCCACUUGAGAGAGUUGAACACCAGACGUUUUUGGUAGCGUAAUUUAGUGCGUUCAACCCCCUAGAAAAUGACAAGAAGCAGGGGCCUAUGCCAAAUUCAGACUUACCUUAUGGAAAUGCCUUGGGCCCAAUACAAACAGAGUCCAACAAGAAAAUAAAUAAUACAGAUACCAGCACCACCCAGUAACCUUACUCAAAAUAAGCAAGUCUCAAAUAACCAAAAGCUAGGAGGCUCAUUACCCAUGCCCAUGAUCCAAAAGAAACAAAACAACUCAAAUCAAAACAAAUGAAACCGGUUGACAAGAUAAAGAACCCUAACUAAAAGGACCCGAACCGCAUUUGCAAGAUCCA